UGACCAAUCAUAGAGGGAGAGAGGAGCUGGGGUGGGCAGGGUGAGGCAGGAAGGGCCGGGCAACUUCCCUCCCCUCCCCAGCCCUGCCUCGAGCUGACACCAGGAAGUUCCAGGGCCUGCAUCUGCAGAUGGUGCACGGCUGCGUGUGGCUCUGGACUAGAGCUUCCUCCGGGGACACUUUCAGUCCGCCUACCACAGGGGAGAUUUCACGUCCCCGAUUCAGGACCUACAGACCUGGACAGCCGCACAAACUGCAGCUCAGAGGAUGAAUCGCACCUGGGAGAGGUUCUGGAUUGCGGAGGCCACAAGAGAACCCCUGAUGGGUCACUGCACUAGGUGGCUGCUCAGAAGCGAGAGCUUGGCAAAGAGACGCUGCUGCGGGCAGAACCACCUUCCAAGCUCAUGCUAACCAUCGUGGGAACCAUUGCUGGCUUAGCACUAUUUCCUGCUCUGGUCCUUGGAGCUGUGAUCUGCAAGAUGUUCUCAGAGCAAGGUUGAAGAAAAAAAGAGAAAACCAGAUUAUUUUACUGUAGAACGCAUGAACCAGACACUCAAGCAGCUACUGAAGGAAUAUUGCCAAGAAACUCAUCUGAGACAGAAUCAAGCCUUGCCUAUAGUCCUCCUCUGAGUCAAGUGCACCCCCACCAAACAAACAAAGUAUUUACCCUAUAAGAUUUUGUUCCGUCAGCCACCGUCAAAUUAAAAGUGAUCUCCAAGAACUAAAAGAACUAAUCUUAAUAAAGCAAAUGCAGGCUUUAGAAACAGCCAUGCAAAGUGUUCAUAGUUAAGUACAUAAAAGAAUGCCUAGAAGUCUAACAGACCCAGAACACCCCUUUAAACCUAGUAGCUUUAAGUUGAAAAGUAGAACCCAAUUUCUCUAAGACCCAUGUAAGAUAAGCCCCAUACAGUAAUCUUGUCCACUCCCACUGCUGUUAAAGUUGCAAGAAUGGUGCCUUUGAUCCAUCACAGUCGGCCAAAAUUGGCAGCUCGGGACAAGUGAACCAGCCAGCAACAUCCAGAUCAUCCAACCCAGCUGAUCCUGAGACAAGACCAAGCUGCUGCUGAAGAUGACAGCCCUGCUCUGGUCACUCCGGAGGCUGACCAGUCUACGCACGGCUGAAGUUUGAAGGAACAACAAGCCUUGCUCUAGUCACACACUGGAAGCUGACUAGUCUACACACAGCUGAAGCUUAAAGACUCAUCAAGCAAGGAUGAGUCUAAAUGUAGUUAGAAAUCUUAAGACUAGUAGUUUUCCUGUAAUACUGUUUUCCUAUUGUUCUGUCACUGCUCAACCUCCUCCCCCAAGUAAAGACCUCUUUUGUCCUUGCUAGAUUUAAA